GGGGACAAGAGGGACCGCGGU
rnacentral:misc_RNA from 1 species